GAUGAAGAACGCAGCGAAAUGCGAUAAGUAAUGUGAAUUGCAGAAUUCAGUGAAUCAUCGAAUCUUUGAACGCACCUUGCGCCCUUUGGCUAUUCCGAAGGGCAUGCCUGUUUGAGUAUCAUGAACACCUCAACUCCUCAUGGCUUGCCAUGAUGAGCUUGGACUUGGGGGUCUUGCUGGCCUGUGGUCAGCUCCUCUCAAAUGAAUCAGCUUGCCAGUGAUUGGUGGCACCACAGGUGUGAUAAACAUCUACGCUUGUGGUUCCCCACCAGGUAACCUUCAGUGAUGGAGGUUCGCUGGGGCUCAUAAAUGUCCCUCCACAGUGAGGACAGCUUUUGAACGUUUGAUCUCAAAUCAGGUAGGACUACCCGCUGAACUUAAGCAUAUCAAUAAGCGGAGGA
rnacentral:misc_RNA from 1 species